AAAAGGCCAAGAAUUUCUUUCUCGGGGAGCUCGACUCUUAAGACGUGAGUCUGCCGAGGCUCCCGGCCAAAUAAAAAACCUCUUCCUUCUUUAAUCCGGUGUCUGAGGAGUUUUGUCUGUAUUCAUCCUGCUACAUUUCUUGGUUCCUUGACCGGGAAGCGAGGUGAUUUACGGACGGUAGAGGCAGCCCCUUAGGCAGCUUAUGCCUGCCCUGUAGGCGGACUCUGGCCAGCUUGGGCGGAUCCUGAGAUGUACAUCCUGAGAUGAGGAUCCUGAGAAUGCUCCCGGGUAGGCAUUUGCCGCAGUGGAACGUCUCAUCAGGAACGUCUCGUCAGAGCAGUGCACAGCAGACCCCCAUGGAGGAUCAACACAGUGGCUGAACACUGGGACGGCACUGGCACUUUAAGUCCGGACAUCUGAAACUUGAUCCACCACAGUCAGAUAACACUGGCAGCUCAGGACAAUGGACCAGCCAGCAGGAUGCAGAUCACCCAACCCAGCCGAUCCUGAGAUGAGACCAAGCUGCUGCUGAGAACGACAGCCCUGCUCUAGUCACACACCAGCAGCUGACUAGUCUACGCACGGCCGAAGCUUGAGGACUCAUCAAGCAAGUAAAUGUAGUUAAAAAUCUUAAGACUAACUGUUUUCCUAUUGUUCUGUGUCUGUAUUCAACCUUUUUCCCAGGUAAGGACCUCUUUUGUCCUUGCUGGAUAUGAAUAUACUGUACAUUGUUUUGUUGUUGAUACCCCCCAUAACCAUGCUAGAAGAAACACCUAUAUAAGGUGUCCCCACUGUACACAUACUACUUAGGAAACCCAGACCCGUCCAGCCCAGCAACAAUUCCGAGUCUUUCAGUCAUUCUUUAAACAUAUACACCAGAAGUUACCAGAACCUCCUCCUUUAGCAAAAA